UGCCUGGCUAUAAGAGAAAUAUACCCCAC
rnacentral:piRNA from 1 species